ensembl:lncRNA
UUUUUCCUUGGCCCAGCUGUCCCAAUUUGCCCGAGGCAACGUGUUCAGUGAUCAGGACAUUCCACAGCAGCUCCAGGAGCAGGACACAUUCAGGCAGAGAGCCAGAAGGAUCCUUCCCCUCCUAACCCAGACUUGCAGAAGAGACUGGGCAAGCAGCUCCUUACUCCCAGACCUCUCUCUGCUGUCAGCCAGCUCUCCUCUAGGCCCAGGCACUUGACGGUGUCGAACAUCCACAGGCCCAGGCGCUAUAGCUUUAUUCUGACUCCGCUUUCAUCCCUGGAACUAUACACUCACUGUCGCUGUGUAGAGGGCACCCCAAUGGGGACAUGUUUGAGAUGGCACACCACCCAACUCUGGAGUAGCUGCUGUGGCUGUUCACAUCAACAUGCAGAACACCAGGGAGUUCAACCAGCUCAAAUACAGAGUGUUACGUCCCCAGACGUAAGCAGGGUCCCCGUCCCAAGGGCCAGGGCAGCCCAGGUUGACCUGAGGUCCAGACAGCCCUCAGCCCGGGAGAGGAGAAGGCCUGCCAGAAGGAGAGACUUUGAGGAUGAGAAGGGCCUGUUGCUUCAAUGUUUCCAUUCUGUGGCCCAGAACAUGGUGACUGCGGGAUGA